rnacentral:rRNA from 1 species
GACGAACGCUGGCGGCGUGCCUAUUACAUGCAAGUCGAACGCAGUGGGGACGGGUGAGUCACACGUGGGUAACCUCCCAUCAGAGGGGAUAACACUUGGAAAUAGGUGAUAAACCGCUACUGGUGGAUGAACCCGCGGUGCAUUAGCUAGUUGGUGUGGUAACGACUCACUAAGGCCACGAUGCAUAGCCGACCUGAGAGGGUGAACGGCCACACUGGGACUGAGACACGGCCCAGACUCCUACGGGAGGCAGAAGUAGGGAAUCUUCGGCAAUGGACGAAAGUCUGACCGAGCAACGCCGCGUGAGUGAAGAAGGUUUUCGGAUCGUAAAACUCUGUUGUUAGAGAAGCGGUAUCUAACCAGAAAGCCACGGCUAACUACGUGCCAGCCGCCGCGGUAAUAC